rnacentral:rRNA from 1 species
GUCCUAGCAGUAAACGGUGCACGUUUGGUGUGGGGGGAUUCGACCCCUUCCGCGCCGGAGCUAACGCGUUAAGCGUGCCGCCUGGGAAGUACGAUCGCAAGAUUAAAACUCAAAGAAAUUGACGGGGACCCGCACAAGCGGUGGAGUAUGUGGCUUAAUUCGAUGCAACGCGAAGAACCUUACCUGGUCUUGACAUGCACUGUGUCUCCGGUGAAAGCCGGAUAGUGUAGCAAUACACGCUCUGCACAGGUGCUGCAUGGCUGUCGU